GACGAACGCUGGCGGCGUGCCUAACACAUGCAAGUCGAACGGAACUGUUUUGAAAGAUUUCUUCGGAAUGAAUUUGAUUUAGUUUAGUGGCGGACGGGUGAGUAACGCGUGAGUAACCUGCCUUCAAGAGGGGAAUAACAUUCUGAAAAGAAUGCUAAUACCGCAUGACAUAUCGGAACCACAUGGUUUUGAUAUCAAAGAUUUUAUCGCUUGAAGAUGGACUCGCGUCCGAUUAGUUAGUUGGUGAGGUAACGGCUCACCAAGACCGCGAUCGGUAGCCGGACUGAGAGGUUGAACGGCCACAUUGGGACUGAGACACGGCCCAGACUCCUACGGGAGGCAGCAGUGGGGGAUAUUGCGCAAUGGGGGCAACCCGGACGCAGCAACGCCGCGUGAAGGAUGAAGGUUUUCGGAUUGUAAACUUCUUUUAUUAAGGACGAAAAAUGACGGUACUUAAUGAAUAAGCUCCGGCUAACUACGUG
rnacentral:rRNA from 1 species